AUACCUUUCUCGGCCUUUUGGCUAAGAUCAAGUGUAGUAUCUGUUCUUAUCAGUUUAAUAUCUGAUACGUGGGUCAAUGGCCCACACGAUAUUAAAUUUAUUUUUUGAGGGGGAGGGCUCACUACAGUAGCUUGCUACUGGUGCCCUCGAGCGUUGCCCAAGUGUUGCACUAUUGCUUAGGCCUGGCGCACCCCAC